UGCGCCUGCUUGAGAGUGACGUCGUUGAACGUCGCGUCGCGUCGCGUCGUAUCGCAUGGCGGCGCGUUAUUACCGCAUUGACAUCGUUCUUUGACUUGCUGGCGUACGGCGGCAUUUAAGCCGAACCAAAGCGCAAGCUAUGCGCCAAAACAAACCACGUCGGAUGUGACACAUUUGCAAGCGCACGUUUAGUUAGAUUUGAGCGGCGCGUUCGUGGUAGGCAGUUAAUGAAAAAUAAGAAAUAUAUUAACAUUUAAAUAAACAAAUAAUAAUUUUAAUGCAAGAGAAAUAUUUAUUUCAAAAUAGUUUCGUAUACUUUAGUGGAACUGAGUGCGCGCCGCAUUACCCGCCCGAGUCGCUGGUACGCACAGUAAUUGCAUUUGCCGUUGAACAGGUAUUACAAAUAACACUAUUUAAUGCAAAUAUAUAACGAAAGAGUGCCAAUUUAGUGCGGAGUAUUACUAUUAAUGUAAAAAUUCGGCGCGCUCACUACGAAAUGCACAGCGCUCAGCGGCACCGACAACGCCGCGCUCUACUACACACAGAUUACACAUAAAUUUGAGUGAAUGUAUUACAUGUGCGGCGCUUGCAGUCGUGCGCUUUACCACUGCAAUUUGUAAUCACUCGAAAUGCUUUGCAAAAUGCAUACAUGGCGAACAAAGACAAUUGGCAGCGCUGCCUUGCGCCUGCACUGUUGAGCGCUUGACUUGGAAAAUAUCUUAUUUUUUACGAUUUUGUAACACUUGCAUUGCACCGUCGCUCUUAAGUGGCUAGCAGCCGCGCAACGCUUACAUUUCUGUGUAUUUCUGCAGUCGCAACGGUCGCAACGCCAGCCAGCAGCAGCAGCGCGCUGUCGUAGGUGCCGCAUAACCCACCAAAAACGCCAGCGUUAAGCCGUUACAUAUGUACAACGCAUACAUUUGAAGAGUUUGUAUUACUACCACACCUACAACGUGCGGAGCGCUCAAACGGCGCUCUGCUGUACAUACUUUUGCUGGCGAAUUUGAAGUUCUUGGCCGUCUGCUCGUCCGGUAGCAAUGCACUCGACGCGCCGCUUUUCACCGACAACGCUGACUGCAAUAAUGCAGAGAGCAAGCAUCAAAAAAAAAUAAAAAAUAAAUAAUUGUUUAUUGAAAUAUGUGCGCAAAAAAAUUAAUUAUUAAAUUAAAUUGCAAAAAAAAUAAAAAUCUGUACAAUUUUAAAGCGCUGCGUACGUGGACGUAAACAUUAGCGUAAGCGAGAGCGCAUAAACGCCGCAGGCUGGUAUUUAUGCGUGUGAUAAGGAACAAAAAAAAAAAAAACAAAUAUAUAUUAUAUAUAUUUGCUUCAAAGUUCACGGGAUUUUCAAUUAAUCAUAAAAUUAGAAUCGGCGCUUAAAAAAAAACAAUUUUCAUUAACGAAAAGUCGCAAGUAAAGUGCAAAAAGAGCAAGCGGUGAAUAAGUGUGCGGAAAAUAAAAAUAUAUAUGUAUAAAAUAAAUUACUCCGGUUCACCGAUCGAUGCUUUUGGACCCUACCUCAAUGCAGCUUGUUACAUACAUACGAAUAAUGUGUAUACCGACUGUACGCAAGUGAAUAUUAAACCUACAUAUAUACUAUAUAUACUCAACGCUAUGUGGCGGCUUUUGCCAAAAAAUAUGUGUUGAAAAAUACUUACAAAUAAACUAAGCAACAAAUUUUUAAAAAUAAAAUACAAUUUUGUGCAAUUUUUUUUAAUAAAAAUAUUUAAAUAUGUCUUAAAGCAGUGCAUAAAAAUAGUGAACUAUUAAAAAUUUGGAAAUCGACUUUGUACGGAAAUUUAUAAAUUUUUGAAAAAUCGCCUGACACGCGUAAUUAUUUGAAUACAAAACGCAAUAAGAAAAUAAUUUUACACACAUGAGUAUGAGCCAUUUUGGUUAAUUGAAUUUUCCGCUUUCAACAAAUGGCGACGGCAUUCGGUAAUCAUUAGCAACACGAGCGAUUCGCAAUGAAAGCUAACAACAAAUGUGUCAGCGCCGACGGCAUGUUGAAAUGACGAACGAGCAAAAAUUGUAAUAAAAUCAGAGCGCUGCAAUAUCAGCAACAGCCGCUGUCUCUGUCUUCGCCAUUGUCGCCGUCGCCGUCCCGGACACCGGCACAGGCGCUGUCACUGGGUCUCUGGUGAGUUUCUGUUUUUGUUGGCUGACUGACUGAACCUGGAGGCGAAUGCGAAAAAUUUCUCUACCCUUUUUCAGUAUGGAGCGCGACUUUGAAACGUUUGCAACGUUGGCACCGUAAAAUAAUACGUUGAAGUGCAAAUGCAUUGCGUUGCAGCAGCUGCUCGGUAAUAUCAACUCACUAGCCCGAACCGAGUGAGUAGCUGACUAAGUGACUGACGGAUGGACUGACGGAUUGUGUGACUGACUUGGGACUAGUUGACUAAGUUUACGUUUAUGGUGCGCUUCUAUGAACUUAACAGAAAGUAGCUGGCUGGCAGCUUGUCUGCCGGAAUGGUUGAUUGAAAAAUGACACAUACUCAUUCAUACAUACGUAACUGCAAACGUUGCAUAUUUUUUGAAAAAAAAAAAAAUUAAAAAGUAAUGCAAAUUAUUUUUUUUUAUCGUAAAGUAUAAUUUUAACUAAAACAACAACGACAACUAAAAUAUUAUUUAUAAAAUAACGGUAAACAGUUAAUUGAAAUUGUGAAAAUGUGUGAUAAAAGUGUGUAAACCGUGGAAAGACGUGAAAGAAGAAAGCAAUAAACUGGCUAGCAAACGGUUGUGAAAGAAAUUUCUGCAAAAAAUCAUAAAAAAACAAAAUUUAAAAUUGAAAAAAAUUAAAAAAUGUCGAAAUAUUGUGUAAAUAUUUAUAUAAAAAUUUUAAUUUAAUUGUGAAAAAAAUUAUAAAUAAAUUUUUUUUUAAAUCAUUUAAAAAACUUCAAAAUAAUAUAAAUGAUAAAUUAAUUAAUAAUUAAUUAUAAAAAUAUGAUAAACAUAAAAAUAAUAAAGUAAACAUGCUUUAUAAUACCACAGACAUAAAUAUAUAUAAUAAGCUAAGACCAAACAAAAAGUUAUAAAAUAAAAAAAUUAAAAAAAUUAUUAAAUAUUAAUUAAUUAAAACUCUGCUCAAAAUCGCCACUAAAUUAUUCAAAAAUAAAUAAACAACUCUUUUUUUACAAUAAAAUAGCAAUAAUUCUAACUUCUUCCAACUGCCAAAGUGGCAACUCGUUCACACACAUACACACUCAUACCACCCAAUAAGUGUGUGUGUGUAGGUACCAUUUGGUAGAGAAUUUCUUAGAUUUUUUUAUACCAACGUUGUGACUCCAAUCGAAUCGGAAGCAGUGAAAGAAUUUUUUCGUUGACCUACGACAAAGGAAAUGAAGUCAGUUGCAAGCCAAACACCAAUACACAUGCAUACUCGCACACUGCUUCAAUGCACAUGGGAAAGCAUACCAAUACAUCAGCAAUGCUGUAUAUGCCAACGCAUACAUGCAGGCAUUUGUUUGCCCAACCAUCCACAUAUGUAUAUACAGGCAAACACAUAAGCGACUUGCUGUCGAUAUUAUGAAACACAUACAUAUGUAUGCAGGCAACCGCCAUGGAUGCGCACCAAUACAGCGUAGCAAAGGGUUGUGUGCCAACAAAUACUCGAAAGCCACAUAAGAGCACACACACAAUACUCAUACUCACACGCUUGAUAUAGUAAGCGUAAAUGCUGCACUUGCUGUUACAACAACAACAGCACGGCAAGCACAAAUGGCAACAACAAGAACAAAAAUAAUAAUAACAACAAAAUAGGCACACAACAGCGGCAUUGCAGCCGAAAGCGCUUGCAUACAUGCAUGCAUAUCUAUGCAACAACAACGGCAAUAACAAUAAAAAAAUAGCGUAUACACACCGCAGCGAGUGGCUGUCAACGCGCAUGAACACUGUGGCCAAAAAGUGAAGGCUUGAUGGCGGUGUGGUUGUUUAUGUGCAUACGCAACACAUACUUAUACACAUAAUUGUUUUUUUUUUGUUUUUUUAUUUUUGUAUUUUUUUUGUGUGAAGUGUUUGUUUGUUGAUAUUGUUGCAUUGGCCUUAUCGUAAACGUUUGUCCUUUAUUAAUUUGAAAUUAUAUAUAAUGCAUUUAAAAAAAUUAAAUUGAAAACUUAUAAAAGCUUUCGUAGAAGAAAAAGCUAAAAAAUAAAUGAAAAGCUUUUUCUCCUAAUAUUUAAUUAUCUCCAAAAGAAAUAUAUUUAAUUUUCUAAAGCAUACAUAAAAAUGUCAAAACAUAAAAAAAGCUUUUAAGAUCGGAAAAAGCUUUUGUUUUUUUUCAAGAAGUCAGCUUUUCUUGCUACGUUUCGUGAAUCCAACUGCUAUUUUAACCUUUCGUAGAUCUUAAAUUUCAUAUCUCUCAUUUUCCAAAAAAAAGCUUUUAAGCUCUGAAGACUCUUUUUUCAAGAAAUUAGUUUUUUUACUACGUUUUUUAAUUCCAACUAAAUCUCUCUUUGAUAUGUUUAAUUCUCUAAAUAUACUUAAAAACUGCAACAUUUAAAAAAAGCUUUUAAGGCCUAAAAAGGCUUUUUGCAAAGAAAUAAUAUUUUUUCGAAGUUAUAACCACUUUUUUGCACCUUUAUUUACUUAAAUUUCAUAUGUUUAAUUUUCUAAGCAAAACUUAAAAACAGCUUUUAAGCUUAAAAAAGUUUUUUUCGAAGAAAUUAGAAUUUUAGAAUUUCAACUAAAUCUUUCAUUUGAUAUGUUUAAUUUUCUAAAUAAUACUUAAAAACUGCAACAUUUAAAAAAAGCUUUUAAGGCCUAAAAAAGCUUUUUUUCAUAAAAAUUAUCACAACCAAUUUUUUACUCCUUCGAAGAUCUUUUUACCUUUUGAAUUCGACAUGAUUUAUUGAAUUGUAUGAAAGCUUCGAAAAAAAGUUCCCAUUGAGAAAAUUCUUCACAUAGUUUGCUUAAUUUCUCACAAUUUAAAUUAAUACUUACCACAGUUUACUACUAUAUAACCAAAAAUACUUCAUUUAAUGAAGCUAGUAAUAUUUUUUUUUUUUUUUACUCAAUGAACAUUGUCUUCUCUCACCCAAGAUUUCCAUAUUUUUUUGCACUUAUUAUGGUGUAACCACUAAAAUUUGUCUACUGUCUCACAACUCAUAAAUGGAACUCUUAUACCAGUACUUACCUUUGUACCUUAGCAAAUGUUUCUUUAUGUCCCAAAAUGCAUGCUCAUAUGUAAUUCUUCAUGGUCCAUAAUAUUUAGAAACACAAUUUUUAAUGACAAUAGGAAAGACAGGAAGUUAUAAAUCGCAAUUCGUUAUAGAACUAAUAUUGAGUAAAUGUAUGUAGUGCUCAGAAAACCGUGUGAAAUCGGAAGAGCCGUCUUUUCUCAUUGCUUCGGUGUCAUUAAAAUGUACUAAAAUGGAGUAAAAUGUUUGGUGAAGAUAUAAAGGAAGUAAUACAAGUAGAAGUUGUAACAGACAAUAAAUAGUGAAACAAAAAAAGCUUAUGACAAACUCAUGAUAGUUAAAAUAUACUGAAAGAAAAGCUCAUGAAUACAAAAACAAUUUGUAACAGGUAGUUUUUUUAUUUAAUUUUUUUGUUAAUGAUUUAUUUCUCAAUGAAAAGUAUUUAUGUAACUAUCUCAUACAUGAAAAAUAUUUGAUAUCACAACUUAGAUUUGAUAUCACAGACGAUCCGCGAGAUGGGUAGUACUGCUGAAGACAGUUCUUUAUGGAACUAGAAAAUUCGUAUAAAAGGGUCUCAUGAAUUGACAAGCGUCUUGAACCCCUAGCAAUCUUCUUAAGCAUUUUAUUAUAACUUCCGUUGGUGCACCUGGAUUUUAAAAAACGUGAGAUGUAAGAUGUUUUAGACUAGAUCUCGCAGUAAACCUCUAACAAUUCUUCUUCUUAGCUCUUACAAUGUGAAAUCUUAUUUUCUUGAUUAACAAUUUAAAACAUUUUCGUGGUGAGUUUCCAAAAACGUUUUUCGUGGUGAGUUUCCAAAAACGUGGUGAGUUUUGAAUUAAAAAAUGUUAAAAUGUGGUGAUUUCGGGAUUAUUGAGUGUUCUAUUUUAUUUGUUCCAUUCAAUUUAAUUGGGAGCUUUAAAAAAUAAACUGAGCUUAGUAGUGAAUAUUAAAAAUAAAUAAAUAAACUGAAAUAUGAACUAAAAAUAAUAAUAAUAAACUUCAACACAGUAAAUAAUAGUAAAAAAUCAAUACAAUAAACUAAAACUAACAGUAAUAAUACACCAAACAUUUGUGGCGAUUGAAAAUUGAUUAACCAAAAGCUACUACGCAAUUACGAUAAAAUAAUUAAGGCUUAUGUGCCUCAAAUAUUUGAUUCACUAGUAGAGAAAGGAAACAGUUAUAUACAUAUAAACCUCUAUUUGUGCAUAUAUGUAUAAAAAAGUGCAACAAAAAACUGACCCUGCCAACAAAAAUUGCAACAAAAACUAUGCACAUGCGCCGUACAACCGUUGAUGCAAAACAAAAUGCUGUUUUCCGAAUGUAUUUGGUGAAAAUUAACAUGCAUGCCCCAACCACCCUUAAAUCGGCAAAAAAAACUAGUAAAAAGCAUAAACAGACAACGAACAAAGAACCAACGAGUAGUCGAGCAACGAACUGUGCGGCAAAACUAUAACAAGAACAAGCACGAGAGAAAAACUACAUUAAGACUGGCGUAGGACGCCAUGAACUGCACACAUUCCUACAUAUUCGUAUUGCAAGGACUUUUCAACUUCAACUACGAAGUGCAGCGCUGUGCACUACACAUUUUCGUGAGUACUAUAUACCGUUUGAGAAACCACAAAUGUACGCUCGUUUCGUUAACUCGUUGAACUGGUAUUCGUUGUUAGUUGUUAGUUUGUGCUGGUUGGAAAAUUUCAUCGCUUCGUAAAUACAGUUUGAACUACUCGUGCAUUGCUGUGAUGACUCGUACAAUGGCCGAGAAGACAAGGCCUCGGCAAAUGCAACUACUGUAUACACUAGUGCAGUGGCUACAGUGAAAAAGGAUGGCCUUAAAGGAUAAUAGUUCAAGUGCAAAGAGGAUGCCGUCAACGAACGGAAAUAUAUAUUUACAGACAAACCGUUAUUGAUAUACUAUAUACUUCUUGCUGUAUGUGGGUGACUUUAUAUGGCGCUGCAGUCACGCACACAUUUUAAGUUGAGCCUCCACCAGUGCAUCCACCACACUUAUAGAGAGUUGCAUUUGUUUGUGUGUGGCGAAAUUCUACUAAAAAUACUCUCGAAAAUAUAAGGACGAAAGGAGCGAAUCACUAAUUAAAUAAUAUCAGCAUAACAAUGUACAAAACAAUAAGGACAUGUUGAGCAAUAAAAUGGAAGGACCUUUGUGGGAUGAGCUUUAUACAAUUUUGAAGGAUGUACUCUAAAUUCAGUUAUCGCAGAUUUAUGUGGCCUAUGAAGACUUCUCACGGUAGCUAGUAUAUUUCAAAGCCUCGAAGGAUGUUUUAUGUUUUAACAACCACUAGAAAAGGAGUUUUAUAAGUAUUCGUAACUUGAUAUUAAAUAUGUUUUUAAAUAACUACUAAUAUAUUUCUCUUUUCGAUUCUAGCGCCACAGACUAAUGCUAUCAAUAUUUAUUGAUAACAAGCGUUGCAACAGCGAUUGGAAAAGCUUUACAUGAAGACAUCCAAAACCGUCUCAUACUAUGAAAUUUCUUUAGAUCCCAUAAAAGCAUCUAAAGAAGCAUGUCUACUUCUGUUUAUAGUGUUUUGUUCAACCAAUGAUGGGAAGUAUGGAUCAUAAGAAACCUCAGAGUAAGGCAGUAGAAAUUUACAUCAAGAAGGUAACAGAAGGUUUAAAAAAAAUCGUUGAAGAAAAAUUAAUUUUUAUUACGAAAAGUAUUGAGGUUAGAUUGUGAUAUUAAUAAUACUAAAAACAAACGAUACUCUACCUCCUCUUCCUCCGAAAAAUUGCACACAUUUCUCCAUUUGAAUGAUAUCUUGAAUAUUUUCUUGCUAUAUUUUCUUUAAAUGUAAUAGAUAUCAUAACACUUGGAAACAACUAGAUCUGAUAACGACAAAUCUAUCUGAUCUACUUCUUUUUUUUAACGGAACCCUUUGGGGUUCCUACGACAAAACAUUUAGGAAAAAUCCAAAAUUUUUUGGUACUAAUUACCAAUUUGGUAUCUACCAAAAGGUUAGGGAAUUUCUUUCUAACAAAUCGGUGCUCAGUUUUAGAUAGCAUUUCACUCCUAUUUCAAAUGUUCGGCAUUCAGUUAAUAAUUUGCAGCAAUAAACUCACGAAUCGAAUAAAUAUUUCACAUAGGGGAUCCAAAAACUUAUAAAAAAUUCCAACAAAAAGGCGAAGAAGAUUACAACGCGCAAACGAAUGGUGCAUACUUGUCUAUGGACCAUUAACAGAAACCCGUAAAUCCGAACUUGUGCUGUUGUUUGUGUUGCAAGACCGGCAUUAUGGGAGUCUGUCAAUGUAAACAACGUGUUGAAGGAACCAAAAACGAAAAAAGAUAAAUGGCAAAAAAUAAUAUAAAGCAAAUCUUAUGCUAUAUAAGAUAUGCUUAAUCGCGUCAACCUUUUUGCUAGUGGGGUUGUUGGGUGGGUUUGGUUCCAGUAGUUUAACAUUUCUCUGGCAAAUUGAGGUAGUAGGUUGUAUAGUAGUAUUGACGGCAUGCUAUACAACGUGCUAGCUUUCUUUGCUUGACACCAAGCAGCGUUUUAAUAAGUGCAAAAAGAGCUGAAAAUGCGGCGUAUGAACCGCAAAACGUGAAAUGAUAAAGAAAAGAGCGAAAUGUAUCACUUAUUAAUUGAAAAAUGUAUAAAAAGUAUUUUACAAAAAUUUUAAAUUUUUCUUAUGAAAUUUCUAAUGAGCAGCAAAUAGUUUGUAUGUAAUGCUCGUAAAGUGUUGUACUUGAAUUCGAAUCAUUACAUACGUAUGCUAUAUAAUAGUAAUAUAUAAGUUGUUUUUUGUUUUGCGUUGAGAUGUGUUUGUAUGGCUGAUUCCCUGAGACCCUAACUUGUGACUUUUUACAUCAGUUUCACAAGUUUUGAUCUCCGGUAUUGGCCGCAAACUUGCUGUUUUUGUGUGAAAUUCGUUUAACAUUAUCUACAUUCUCAAUCAUAGCAUAUAUAUUAAUGCGUACAACCUUCAUUCAUGUCAUCUAACCAAUUGCAUAUACAUACAGAAAUACUAUAUGUAAGAGUAUGCUUGUAACUGUUCAUAUAUGAUAUAUAAGGUAGGUUAAUGAAGGCAUUAUAUGGUAUUAUCGAAUAGUACAUAAAAAUAUCUAAAAAUUGUUGUUUCAUAAAGAAAAUAUAAAAAAGAAUUAUACUUUAAUAUCGUAAAUUGUAUCCGUGAGUAGAAGUGAUUGCUUUAAACGCUAAGGUUUGAAGAGAUUAAAACUAAUUAUGCAACGAUAUAGAAUUUAUUGUAUAAUUAAUUAUAUAUUUUAGCUAAUAAUCCACCAUGGGUCAGAUAUUCACCAUGCGCCAAAUCUUGGAAAAGAGCCGAAAGAGAAGAAUCGAUACACACCACCUUUUCAUCGAUUUCAAAGCUGGGAAAAGGGGCUUCCUGUAUGCCGCGAAUUCUGAAUUUGGUAUCUCUGCAAAGCUAAUACGGCUGUGUAAAAUGACCUUGAGCAACACCAAAAGCUCCGUCAGGAUCGGGAAGGACCUCUCCGAGCCGUUCGAUACCAAAGCAGGCUUCAAACAAGGUGAUAUCGAUAUCAUUGGAAACAAAACCCCCGCCGUUAGUUCUGCUUUUUCCCGCCUAGAUAAGGAAGCGAAGUAUAUGGGUCUGGUGGUGACCUGACACGAAAUAUCUACUGUCAUCAAACAAACAGUCAGCGCACUCGCGUCUUGGCUCGCACGUCACCGUUGACAGUCAUAACUUUGAAGUUGUAGAUAAUUUCUACUUGGGAAUCAGCAAUAACAACACCAAUAAUGUCAUCCUCGAAAUCCAACCCAGAAUCACUCUUGCCAACAGGUGCUACUUUGGACUGAGUAGGCAAUUGAAAAGUAAAGUCCACUCUCGACGAACCAAAAUCAAACUCUACAAGUCGCUUAUUAUUCCCAUCCUGGUGUAUGUUGCUGAAGCGUGGACAAUGACAACAUCCGAUGAGACGACUCUUGGGUUUUCGAAAGAAUGGUUUUGCGCAAGAUUUAUGGUCCUCUAAAUAUUGGCAACGGCGAAUACUACAGACGAUGGAACGAUGAGCUGUACGUAUUAUUCGACGACAUAGACAUAGUUCAGCGAAUAAAAAAUAGCGGCUAAGCUGGCUAGGUCAUGUUGUCCGAAUGGACGAAAGUUCUCCAGCUCUGAAAGUGUUCGAUGCAGUACCCGCUGUUGGAAGUCGCGGAAGAGGACGACCUCCACUCCGGUGGAAAGACAAAGUGGAAAGUGACCUGGCAGGACUUGGAAUUUCUAAAUGCGCGCUCUCGUGGAUUUGGAUAUAAUCGCCUAAGCGGUUUCUACACCAAAUAUAUAUAACCAAUACAAAUGUAAUUCCAAUUGAAAACAUAAAAAAAGCAGCGAUAACAGAAAAGUUAAAAAUCAUAGUCUACCCACAGGCGCAUAAGCUAUUAACCAAGCCAUAUAUGAGGCCGUCGCGACUAGGUAACCAAAUUUUAUAUUUAAAAGUAUAGCCAACUACUGUUUGUCGGCUAGUGAGCGCAGAAUAUUAACUGUGUAUUAUUACCUAACUUUUUUUAAUUCAUGCAAAUGGUGCUGAAUUUAAAUAAAUUAUAUAUAUUUUUUUUUAUUUCAAAUAUAAAUAUUUUAUUUUUUUAUUUAUUUGUAAAUGUUUCGAGUUGAAUAAAUUAUGAAAAGUGACCCCCAAAACAGCAUUAUACAUAUUAUAGUUGCCAUGGCAAAAAUAAUGGCAACUAUACAAUAAUAAGGGGUAUAGUAACAGAAUACGAUAUAGAGUUUGCUUCCACUACGCAAAAGAUUUUUAAGAUUAUUUUUUCUUCCUACAGAUACGAUUGCAAGUUUGCUAUUGUUCACCAAGGUAUUAUGGAGUGACAAGACAUUUCUUCAACCACAAUGCACGACGACGGUGGUCUGUAUUCUCACGUCAGUUGAGUCUACGUAUUCGGAAUGUACAGUUAAGACAGACAACUUAUUUGGGGAAACAAUUUCUACCACUACAACGACAAUAAAAUCAACAAUUGCCGUGUCACCACAGUCGAGUUGGAUCCAUAUAAAUAUUCCUGCGGCACUAUUUAGAGGAAAUUUUAGACUGCCACCGAGAAUGAAUCGAUAAAGUACUGACUUCCCAGUAUAAUAUAUAAAUAAGAUUUUAAUUAUAAAAUAAUACACAAACAUAAUUGCUUUUAAUUCAUAAUUUUUUUAUUUAAUUUAUCAAAUACAUUUUCAGAAUAAACGAUAAAACAUUUCACAUUAGCUGAGCAUAUGCUAGAUUUAUGCAUAUAAUAUAUCUAUACUAUAAAUAUGUUGGAUGCUUAAAGGUAGCUUUAACUAUAUGGUAUAACUAUGUGUAUUUUAUUACAUUAGGUUGGCAAAUAUCUUCCUUCAGCCUUUUUGUCUUUUGAAUUUCGCGGCGAUAUAUAAAGUGAUCAAAUCAUGGAAAACAUCGAGUUAGCAUAUGACAUCUCGUGACAUCGCCCAGGAGAUGGGAGUUAGUCACCAAAGCAUUUUAAACCAUCUGCGGAAGGCUGGGCACACAAAAAAGCUUGGUGUUUGAGUGCCGUAUGAUUUGACGCAAAAAAAAAACCUUCUGGAACGCAUCAACGCCUGCGAUAUGCUGCUGAAACGGAACGAACUCGAUCCAUUUCUGAAGCGGCUGAUGACUGGCGACGAAAAAUGGAUCACAUACGACAAUAUCAAGCGAAAACGGUCGUGGUCGAAGGCCGGUGAAUCAUCCCAAACUGUGGCCAAGCCGGGAUUGACGGCCAGGAAGGUUUUAAUAUGUGUUUGGUGGGAUUUGAAGGAAAUCAACCACUAUGAGCUACUUCCAUAUGGCCAGACGUUUAAUUCUAGCAUGUACUGCGAACAACUGGACCGCUUGAAGCGUUCAGAAUUGGCCAACAGGAAAGGUUUAGUGUUCCACCAGGACAACGCCAGACCACACACUUCGUUGAUGACUCGUCUGAAGUUAUGGAAGCUAGGAUGGUAGGUAUUAUCGCAUCCACCAUAUAGUCCGGACAUAGCGCUAAGUGAUUACCACAUAUUCCUAUCCAUUCCGAAUACCCUUGGUGGUGUAAAGUUGAACUUAAAAUGAGGCUUGUGAAAAGUGGCUAUCCGAGUUCUUCUCAAAUAAGGAGGGGGCUUCUACGAGGGGGUAUUAAGAAGUGGCUGUCUACAUGGCAACAAAUUAUCGAAUGAAAUGGCGCAUAUUCGAUCACUGUAACACUUUUUAUAAAGCAUUGAACAAAGACCAAAAAGCGGAUGGUAGAUAUUUGCCAACCUAAUAUGUGAAGGUAUGUGUAAGAGAUUUAUAUAAUAAAUGCGUAUGCGCACCAAAUACAUACUAUGA